AGCGAACGCUGGCGGCAGGCUUAACACAUGCAAGUCGAGCGGGCAUCCUUGUGGUGUCAGCGGCAGACGGGUGAGUAACGCGUGGGAACGUGCCCUUCGGUUCGGAAUAACUCAGGGAAACUUGAGCUAAUACCGGAUACGCCCUUUUGGGGAAAGGCUUGACUGCCGAAGGAUCGGCCCGCGUCUGAUUAGCUGGUUGGUGAGGUUACGGCUCACCAAGGCGACGAUCAGUAGCUGGUCUGAGAGGAUGAUCAGCCACACUGGGACUGAGACACGGCCCAGACUCCUACGGGAGGCAGCAGUGGGGAAUAUUGGACAAUGGGGGCAACCCUGAUCCAGCCAUGCCGCGUGAGUGAUGACGGCCUUAGGGUUGUAAAGCUCUUUUCUCCGGGACGAUAAUGACGGUACCGGAGGAAUAAGCCCCGGCUAACUUCGUGCCAGCAGCCGCCGUAACAC
rnacentral:rRNA from 1 species